rnacentral:tRNA from 1 species
UGGGGAGUCGCCAAGUGGUAAGGCACCGGGUUUUGGUCUCGGCAUUCGCAGGUUCGAAUCCUGCCUCCCCAGCCA